rnacentral:rRNA from 1 species
UACGAAGGGGGCUAGCGUUGCUCGGAAUCACUGGGCGUAAAGCGCACGUAGGCGGAUCUUUAAGUCAGGGGUGAAAUCCUGGAGCUCAACUCCAGAACUGCCUUUGAUACUGAGGAUCUCGAGUCCGGGAGAGGUGAGUGGAACUGCGAGUGUAGAGGUGAAAUUCGUAGAUAUUCGCAAGAACACCAGUGGCGAAGGCGGCUCACUGGACUGGUACUGACGCUGAGGCGCGAAAGCGUGGGGAGCAAACAGG